rnacentral:rRNA from 1 species
UGAAUACGAGAUGCUACGGCGUCGAAGCAGUGUAUGUCAGACUUCCAAGAAAAGCUCGCAAUGUCAUAAAUAAAGAAUGCCUGUACCAUAACCGACACAGGUGGGUAGGUAGAGUAUACUAAGGGGCGCGAGAUAACUCUCUCUAAGGAACUCGGCAAAAUAACUCCGUAACUUCGGGAGUAGGAGUGCCUUCUUUAAGAAGGUUGCAAUAACAAGAUCCAAGCAACUGUUUAUCAAAAACACAGGUCUCCGCUAAGUCGUAAGACGAUGUAUGGGGGCUGACGCCUGCCCAGUGCCAGAAGGUUAAAGAAGUUGGUUAGCUUUUGCGAAGCUGAUGACUGAAGCCCUGGUGAACGGCGGCCGUAACGAUAACGGUCCUAAGGUAGCGAAAUUCCUUGUCGGGUAAGUUCCGACCCGCACGAAAGGCGUAAUGAUUUGGAUACUGUCUCGGAGAGGGACUCGGUGAAAUAGACUUGUCUGUGAAGAUGCGGACUACCUGCACCAGGACAGAAAGACCCUAUGAAGCUUUACUGUAACUUGAAAUUGAAAUUGGACUUUAUUUGCGCAGUAUAGGUGGAAGGCGUUGAAAGUAAUCUCGCGGGAUUAGUGGAGCCAUCAGUGAGAUACCACUCCUAUAAUGUUAGAUUUCUAACUUUGGAUCAUGAUCUGGUCAAAGAACAGUUUCAGGCGGGCAGUUUGACUGGGGCGGUCGCCUCCCAAAUGGUAACGGAGGCGUACAAAGGUUUCCUCUGAACGGGUAGAAAUCGUAUCUAGAGUGUAAAGGCAUAAGGAAGCUUGACUGUGAGACCUACAAGUCGAGCAGGGACGAAAGUCGGUCUUAGUGAUCUGACGGUGCUGAGUGGAAAGGCCGUCUCUCAACGGAUAAAAGUUACUCUAGGAUAACAGGCUGAUCUCCCCCAAGAGUUCACAUCGACGGGGAGGUUUGGCACCUCGAUGUCGGCUCAUCGCAUCCUGGGGCGGUAGUACGUCCCAAGGGUUGGGCUGUUCGCCCAUGAAAGCGGUACGCGAGCUGGGUUCAGAACGUCGUGAGACAGUUCGGUCCAUAUCCGGUGUAGGCGUUAGAAUAUUGAGAGGAGCCUUCUUUAGUACGAGAGGACCGAGAAGGACAUACCUCUGGUGUACCAGUUAUCGUGCCAACGGUAAACGCUGGGUAGCUAUGUAUGGAGAGGAUAACCGCUGAAAGCAUCUAAGUGGGAAGCCCACCUCAAGAUGAGUAUUCUC